UGGUUCUGGCAUCGAUGAAGAACGCAGCGAAAUGCGAUAAGUAAUGUGAAUUGCUGAAUUCAGUGAAUCAUCGAAUCUUUGAACGCACAUUGCGCCCCUUGGUAUUCCUAGGGGCAUGCCUGUUCGAGCGUCAUUACAACCCUCAAGCCUAGCUUGGUAUUGGGCCUCGCUGUUCACCCAGCGGGCCUUAAAAUCAGUGGCGGUGCUUCUAUAGUCCUAAGCGUAGUAAAUCUCUCGCUUUAGGGGUGUGGUGGUGCCUGCCAUGACCUUUAUUCUAAGUUUGACCUCGGAUCAGGUAGGGAUACCCGCUGA
rnacentral:misc_RNA from 1 species